UGCCAGCCGCCGCGGUAAUACAGAGGUCCCAAGCGUUGUUCGGAUUUACUGGGCGUAAAGGGUGCGUAGGUGGUAGGGUAAGUUUGAUGUGAAAUCUCCGGGCUCAACCCGGAAACUGCAUUGAAUACUAUCAUACUAGAGGGCUGGAAGGGAGACUGGAAUUCUCGGUGUAGCAGUGAAAUGCGUAGAUAUCGAGAGGAACACCAGUGGCGAAGGCGAGUCUCUGGACAACACCUGACACUGAGGCACGAAGGCUAGGGGAGCAAACAGGAUUAGAUA
rnacentral:rRNA from 1 species